ACCUGUUGCGGGCAGACGAGCAUGUGCCCGCAGCACCAGACAGAACACCGUGCCACGGGAACAAACGGGGCACUUCAGGGCGUU
rfam:Streptomyces sp. 13-12-16 NODE_33_length_19791_cov_53.123085, whole genome shotgun sequence.